UCCCCUUCAGUUGUGCUCGAGCUUUUCUCCAUCUUCAUUCUUCUGUUUCGCCAUAAAAUCACUUCAUCACUGUGUGUUACGUUCUUGGCCUUCUGGCUUGCCUGCCUCGCUCUAACGCUCCUGCAUGGCUAAUCUCUCAAUAUAGCAGCAAUAUCAGGUGAAGAUCCAAGAAGUUUCAUGGUACGCUAGUAGCUUCCAAUUAACCCUAGCAAUACCCAAGGGACUUUCGAAGUUUCUUCCACCCCACCCCCCCCCCCACACACACGCGCGCGCGCGCGCGCACACACACACACUAGCCGUGAUGUGGUUUCUAGAUGCAUUCACUUCGAUCUGAUCGAUGAAGGGCGGGAUCGGAUGAUCGCUAUCUGGUAUGUAAAUAUCUUUCUUGUUACAUGCAUGCAUCAAAUAUGAUCUACUAUUCCCUCAAAUAAAAUGAUCUACUAUCGUUGAGUUUGAUCUACUCUUAAUUUCAGGAUUCUGUCAUUUCGAAGUUGUAGGUGAAGAGAGGGUAGAAAACCUUACUUCUAUAUAUGUGUCAGCAAGGCUCUAGCUACAACCAGACGAGAGCUCCAUACAUGCAUGAUCUGCAUGUGCAUAUAUCUUUGAUCAAUGGAAAGAGCGAUAUUGGUGAGGUUCAAUCCGAUGAUAGGU
rnacentral:lncRNA from 1 species